rnacentral:rRNA from 1 species
AACGAACGCUGGCGGCGUGCCUAACACAUGCAAGUCGAGCGCGAAAGGAGCAAUCCGAGUAGAGCGGCGCACGGGUGCGUAACACGUGGAUAAUCUGCCUCAGGGUUGAGGAUAACCUUCCGAAAGGUUGGCUAAUACUCGGUAAGCUUACGGUGACUUCGGUCGCUGUGAGAAAACUAGACCUCUAUUUAUAAGUUUAGGCCCAGAGAUGAGUCCGCGGCCCAUCAGCUAGUUGGCGGGGUAACGGCCCACCAAGGCUACGACGGGUAGCUGGUCUGAGAGGACGAUCAGCCACACUGGAACUGAGACACGGUCCAGACUCCUACGGGAGGCAGCAGUGGGGAAUUUUCCACAAUGGGCGAAAGCCUGAUGGAGCAACGCCGCGUGUGUGAUGAAGGUCUUCGGAUCGUAAAGCACUUUCGACUGGGACGAAAAACCUUUGGCUAACAUCCAGGGGCCUGACGGUACCAGGAGAAGAAGCACCGGCUAACUCUGUGCCAGCCGCCGCCGUAAAAC